rnacentral:ncRNA from 1 species
AUACUUCUUUCUUGCAAUAAGCAAGUUUGUAUGUGCUGCCCUACGGGCAAAUGUCAUUAUGAGGUGCUACAGUUAAAAAGGCGAAGUAAUAGCUGUAGUAAAAUACCACUAAAUGCUGGAAACUCUUAAAAGACAAUCAGCAGGAACCUAUAUUAAAAAUAGCGCAGCUGUAUAUAACGAAUUCAACUUUUGGUUCCUCAGAGACUAUACGUGGUACAUUUUUUUAAUAAAAGUAAAAGCAUUUAAAUAAGUUUUAUAAAGUAAUUAUAUAGUUAAAAAGAUGAAGAUAUAGUCCGAUCCGUUAACGAGAGUUAGCG